rnacentral:rRNA from 1 species
CCUACGGGAGUCAUCAGUGGGGAAUAUUGGGCAAUGGGCGCAAGCCUGACCCAGCAACGCCGCGUGAAGGAAGAAGGCUUUCGGGUUGUAAACUUCUUUUAAGGGGGAAGAGCAGAAGACGGUACCCCUUGAAUAAGCCACGGCUAACUACGUGCCAGCAGCCGCGGUAAUACGUAGGUGGCAAGCGUUGUCCGGAUUUACUGGGUGUAAAGGGCGUGCAGCCGGAGAGACAAGUCAGAUGUGAAAUCCACGGGCUCAACCCGUGAACUGCAUUUGACACUGUGUCCCUUGAGUGUCGGAGAGGUAAUCGGAAUUCCUUGUGUAGCGGUGAAAUGCGUAGAUAUAAGGAAGAACACCAGUGGCGAAGGCGGAUUACUGGACGAUAACUGACGGUGAGGCGCGAAAGCGUGGGGAGCAAACAGGAUUAGAUACCCUAGUAGUC